UAUAAAGUAAUUUAAAGACAAAAUAUAUAAUUUCGGGUUAUACAAUAACUAGUAAGUUCUUUAUAU
rnacentral:tRNA from 2 species